rnacentral:rRNA from 1 species
CACUAGGCUAUUGGGCUUGGACGCAGUCUGACCCAGCCAUGCCGCGUGCAGGAUGAAGGCGUUAUGCGUUGUAAACUGCUUUUAUACAGGAAAAAACGACUCUUGCGAGAGGCAUUGACGGUACUGUAUGAAUAAGCACCGGCUAACUCCGUGCCAGCAGCCGCGGUAAUCAACAU